AAAACAAAAGAGAGUGUGGUCAGGCGGCUUGGACCAAGCAGGGCUUUCCUUAUCCCAGUUGAUUGUGCAGAAUACACUGCCUGUCGCUUGUCUUCUAUUCACCAUGGCGUCUUCUGAUAUCCAGGUGAAAGAACUGGAGAAGCGUGCCUCAGGCCAGGCUUUUGAGCUGAUUCUCAGCCGUCGGUCAAAAGAAUCUGUUCCAGAAUUCCCCCUUUCCCCUCCAAAGAAGAAGGAUCUUUCUCUGGAGGAAAUUCAGAAGAAAUUAGAAGCUGCAGAAGAAAGACGUAAGUCACAUGAAGCUGAGGUCUUAAAGCAGCUGGCUGAGAAACGAGAGCACGAGAAAGAAGUGCUUCAGAAGGCAAUAGAAGAGAACAACAACUUCAGUAAAAUGGCAGAAGAGAAACUGACCCACAAAAUGGAAGCUAACAAAGAGAACCGAAAGGCACAAAUGGCUGCCAAACUGGAGCGUUUGCGAGAGAAGGAUAAGCACAUUGAAGAAGUGCGGAAGAACAAAGAAUCCAAAGACCCUGCUGACGAGACUGAAGCUGACUAAUUUGCUCUGACAACUGACUUUCUCCCCAUCCCCUUCCUAAAUAUCCAAAGACUGUACUGGCCAGUGUCAUUUUAUUUUUUCCCUCCUGACAAAUAUUUUAGAAGCUAAUGUAGGACUGUAUAGGUAGAUUCAGACUGUAAGAUGUUGUUUUAGGGGCUAAAGGGGAGAAACUAAAAGUGUUUUACUCUUUUUCUAAAGUGUUGGUCUUUCUAAUGUAGCUAUUUUUCUUGUUGCAUCUUUUCUACUUCGGUACACUUGGUGUACUGGGUUAAUGGCUAGUACUGUAUUGGCUCUGUGAAAACAUAUUUGUGAAAAGAGUAUGUAGUGGCUUCUUUUGAACUGUUAGAUGCUGAAUAUCUGUUCACUUUUCAAUCCCAAUUCUGUCCCAAUCUUACCAGAUGCUACUGGACUUGAAUGGUUAAUAAAACUGCACAGUGCUGUUGGUGGCAGUGACUUCUUUCGAGUUAGGUUAAUAAAUCAUGCCAUAGAGACCCUCCUGGUUGAUACUUGUUCCAGAUGGGGCCUUGGGGCUGGUAGAAAUACCAAGGCACAAAUGACCGCACGUUCUCUGCCCUCAGUUUCUUGCCCCAGUGUGGUUUGCAUUGUCUACCUCCACAAUGGCCGCUUUGUUUGGAUGCCUCAGCCCAGGUCAGCUGUUACUAUAUUCUUUCAGAUGUUUAUUUGCAAACAAGCAUUUUUUGUUCUGUGUCCCUUUUAAAAGGCAGAUUAAAGGCACAAGCGUGUUACUAGAGAACAGUUUAGAGAGAAUCUCAGGUCCUACUUGGUGGUUUGCUUGCUCUACAUUACAGGUGGGGCAUGUCCUCAUUCUUUCCUGCCAUAAAAACGACGACGCGAGAAUCAGAAUAUUAAUAAAACUUUAUGUGCUGCUGUA